UACGGAGGGGGCUAGCGUUGUUCGGAAUUACUGGGCGUAAAGCGUCCGCAGGUGGUUUAUCAAGUCUGCUGUUAAAGCACAGGGCUUAACCCUGUAAAGGCAGUGGAAGCUGAGAGACUAGAGUACGGUAGGGGUAGCGGGAAUUCCCAGUGUAGCGGUGAAAUGCGUAGAUAUUGGGAAGAACACCAGCGGCGAAGGCGCGCUACUAGGCCGAAGCUGACACUCAUGGACGAAAGCUAGGGGAGCGAAAGGA
rnacentral:rRNA from 1 species